GGCUGGUCCGAUGGCAGUGGGUUAUCAGAACUUAUUAACAUUAGUGUCACUAAAGUUGGUAUACCACCCCCCCCACUGCUAAAUUUGACUGGCUUUAA
ensembl:misc_RNA Y_RNA Y RNA